rnacentral:rRNA from 1 species
GUUAGGAAUAUUGGACAAUGGGCGAAAGCCUGAUCCAGCCAUGCCGCGUAAACGAUGAAGGCCUUCGGGUUGUAAAGUUCUUUAGCCGAUGAUUAUAAUGACUGUAGUCGGAAAAUAAGCCCCGGCUAACUUCGUGCCAGCAGCCGCGGUAAUACGAAGGGGGCGAGCGUUAUUCGGAAUCACUGGGCGUAAAGCGUGCGUAGGCGGUUUUGUAAGUUAGGAGUGAAAGCCCAGGGCUCAACCUUGGAAUUGCUCUUAAAACUGCAAGGCUCGAAUAUCGGAGAGGAUAGCGGAAUUUCCAGUGUAGCAGUGAAAUGCGUAGAUAUUGGAAGGAACACCAGUGGCGUAAGCGGCUAUCUGGACGAGUAUUGACGCUGAGGCACGAAAGCGUGGGGAUCAAACAGGAUUAGAAACCCGGGUAGUCC